GACGAACGCUGGCGGCGUGCCUAAUACAUGCAAGUCGAACGAACCGCGACUAAGUGCUUGCACUAAGUCAAGGUGAGUGGCGAACGGGUGAGUAACACGUGGGUAACCUACCUCAUAGUGGGGGAUAACAGUCGGAAACGACUGCUAAUACCGCAUAGGACAUAGGAUCACAUGAUCCAGUGAGGAAAGGUGGCGCAAGCUAUCGCUAAGAGAUGGACCCGCGGUGCAUUAGCUAGUUGGUAGGGUAAAGGCCUACCAAGGCGAUGAUGCAUAGCCGACCUGAGAGGGUGAUCGGCCACAUUGGAACUGGGACACGGCCCAAACUCCUACGGGAGGCAGCAGUAGGGAAUCUUCCGCAAUGGACGCAAGUCUGACGGAGCAACGCCGCGUGAGUGAAGAAGGUCUUCGGAUCGUAAAGCUCUGUUGUUAGGGAAGAACAGCGCAUAGAGUAACUGCUAUGCGUGUGACGGUAUCUAACCAGAAAGCCACGGCUAACUACGUG
rnacentral:rRNA from 1 species